GAUAAAGGCCACCGGUUUGAACCCGUGGCCAUAAUCAAUUAAAAAAAAAAACGCCCCCCUUAUAAACCCCAAACCCUACCUCAUUUCCCUCUUAGCCUCUCUUUCUCUCUCCUUCUCUCCCCUCUCCUCUUUCUCUCUCCUGCUCUCCCCUCUCUUCUUUCUCUUUCAAUUCGACCGCUCUGUUCUCUUGCGCUUCUCCUUGGUCUCCUUCUCCCUCUUCUCCUUCUCUAUCAAUUCCACCAUCACCAAUAAACCACAAAGACAUGCACCACGAAGACAUGCACGAGGUAUAUUGAUUUAGAUGUAGAUGUUAAAUCGAAGAAUAAAGAUAUUAAUUUAGGUGUUAUAUGGGUUAUUUUUUAAUUUUAAUGUUGUAAUUUUUUUUUUGGUUUUUUAUUGUAAUUUUUUUUUUAAUGUUGGAAUUUAGUUUUGUGUAAUUUGAUUAAUUUAGUUCUUUUAAAUUGGAAUUGUUGUAUGAGUAAUUUAGUUUUUUCACUCUUAAAAAGUGUACAAUUACUAGAUACUGAUGAAUAUAUAUGUGUUUUUAUGUAUUUUA